CCUUUUCACUAGGGGUAGUCAUUAGACUUGAGAAUGACCCUUUGAACCUGAUCGGGUUAAGACCCGCGGAGGGAAGUGAGUGGUUAGGUGG
rnacentral:ncRNA from 2 species